ensembl:lncRNA
AACCAUCAGAGGGCGUGCCUUCAGUGCGGGGUAUGUCCAAACUUGGUACAGAGGUGUAGCGAGAGGCAUACCUGUUGAGCAGGUGAACUUCAAGCUCAGUCCGUGUCAAGUUGUGCUUGCGUCAACCACAUAGCAAGCAUAGCAAGAUAAACAGAUAUCGAGGAAGGAAGGUGAAAGAGAGAAGACGAGAAAAAGAAUGUCUGGGACAGAUCAGAACAGCGCUCCUGACCCACAGCUGCUGUUUGUGGGGCGACCCUCCCGUCUGCUAGAGGUGUAUGUGAAACGCAGCCUGAGCCUCAAUGACAGCCCACUCAAUGACGGGAGACCCGCCAGGGAGCACCGCAAGUGGAUCAGCCUGGCGGAGAGGAACAAGAGGGAUCGCAGGCACUCCAGUGACACGUCUCUGCACCUGCCAGUGGACAUGGCAUACAGUUACAACCCUGUAAGCGAAAAAAACAGCGAUCCAAAGAAGAGCACGCUGAGGAAGAAGUGGAUGAGCUUCAGGGACAAGAGCAAGAGGCCCAGCAAACUCUCCAAACCUUCUUUGGUGGUCAAGCCAGCUCCUUCUGAUGACAGACCAACAGAGUACCAUGACACCAUGCCCUCAGACCUAGAGUCCUCCACGGAGAAGCCGAAGAAGAAAAAACGUGAGAGCAAGAAGGGCAAGCCAGCUCCUUCUGAUGACAGACCAACAGAGUACCAUGACACCAUGCCCUCAGACCUAGAGUCCUCCACGGAGAAGCCGAAGAAGAAAAAACGUGAGAGCAAGAAGGGCAAGCCAGCUCCUUCUGAUGACAGACCAGCAGAGGACCACGACACCAUGGCCUCAGGCCUAGAGUCCUCCACGGAGAAGCAGAAGAAGAAAAAACAGAGGAGAAAGAAGGGCAAGAAGUCCUCCAUCUGGAGGAGCAUAGUUGGCUUCUUCUCACGGGGUGACAGCGACACGGACGAACGUGACCUCAGCCCUGUGAGAACGGUGUGCCCCCCCCAGCCCCCAGAGGCCACGUGCCUCUCCAUCUCCAAACCCUUCUCCGAGGGAGAGGAAGUCACGCGCCGCAGGAAGUCCUCCAGGAGACGGCGUUCCCUAAUAAGGAGACUCUCUCAGAAGAAGGACAGGCGCCUGUCCAUAGUGGAAGCCAUCGAGAGAGUGGAGCCCACAGACUCAUACUACGAGAACGUGUCUGAUGAGCUGAAGAGGAUUGUGACUGAGGUGAUGGAUAGUCCUUCUGAUGAGCAGGUGGUGGUUCCUCCAGACGUACCACCCACUGACACACUGGACAGUCAAAGCUUGUCAACAGAUGAGUUGACAGAGAGGCUUAUAGCUCUAAUCAAACAGGAAGGGGAUUUCAUGGAUGCAAAGAUGAAGGAGAGUCCCAGCCUCAGUAACUUCUUCCAGGGGCUCACAUACGGCUCCUUCCAGCAGCUGGCUGACCAGUAUGUGCUGUCCGAGAUACCCGCAGAGCCCGCCCAGGACCCGGUGGUGGCGCCGGAGCUAGUCAGGCUGGCCUUCACCCUGGACUUCACUGCCCGGCUGGCCGGCCUGUCCCGCCAGAGCCCGAGCCACAUCAUGGGCCACGGGAAAUGCUACCUGCAGGAGCGCUUCACCUACGAGGCCCAGCCCGAGGUCGAGCCCACGAGUCCGCUGAUGAUGAGAACGGCCUGGAAGGGGUCGAUGGAAAUUGGGAUAAACUAUGGGAAUUCCCUCCUGGUAGAGAGCGGAGAACCUGAGGAACAUGGUCUGGGGAAGGCUGAAGAACCUAAACCUUCACUAAGAACAAGGAUGCCUGAUGAAGCUCAGCAAAUCCAGCACUUUAACAGCUAUGAGUUAUGACCUAAUGUUCGACAACCAUCAAAUAUCAAUUUGGUGAAAAUACUGUUUGAAAAUCCAAGAUUUUAGAUGCAGUAUGCAUUACUCCCUAAUUUAUAUACUUUUAAAAUGUGAAUAAUUGUGUAUAUGUAUGCUGGCAUACAUAUCCUGUAAGUCAAUAAAUAUAUAUUUUUUCUACUUCAUUAAAUCUCAUGUUCAAGUUGGUAUGUUACCCAUAAACAAAAGUUGAUGAACUAAGGUAUAACUAACUAACUAAAUACUGUAACUAAUGAAUGAAUGAAUGAAUGAAUGAAGUUACUGUUAGGUGAAAAUUCACAUUCAAGUUAUCUCAGGACUCCAGAGCUGAAGAUCAGUAUAUUUAUUACAAACAACAAUUGCAAUCGGGAUGAAAGUGAAGCAAUUUCCCUAACAUCGCACAGGGUUUAUAUACUUAGAAUUUAUCCAAUUUAUCUAACUCUAACGCCAUAAUUGUUUCUAACGUCAGCAAGAAUGGCCACGCUCGACUAAAAGUACUUUUGUGUCAUACCAACUGCGCUUCCUGAGAUGCAAGGAUGUCAGUUUUACGCAGGGUUGAACAAGCACAGUUCGACCCUUCUUAUCACCUCUGAGCUCACCCAAACAUAUGCAGACUACAUGGCGUCGGCACUUAAUAAUCAGUUACACACAAACACACAAACAGAAACACAGAAAAACCAUGUUCCUGCUUACAUAAGCACAUGAUUCAUACAAGGUAAUUAGCAAGGCACUUGAUUAAAAUAUUCUUAAGUCAUUAACAUUAAGAAAUUAUCUCUAUCAGUUACUCUCAGAGGAAGCUGGCUUGGUAGUGUUCGCAUGUGGGGUGGGAGCACACCCAUGGUAGAACGCAAAUCACCGUAAUGAUUCUCAUAAGCCUUUUGUGUGGUUGUGUGAAAGGUUACACUCCAACCUGGCAAACACAGCACCUGAAAUCCAACACCUAUGUCCACAAUAAGACCUAAAACAAUCACUGGCUCUGUUUUUGCAAUCACAGAUUUCUCUACAAGUUCCCCCACAUCGAACCCACAAUGGCUAAAAUUCAAAUGUUCACCCCAUUCGUGUCACUCAUGUGCUAGAUUGUCAGGUUAUAUCACAGCAUACCACUGUAUUUCCAGUUAAGAGAAAACCUCCACAGCACAUCCCAUAUUUCUAUGACAUGAAACACAUCUGAACUGGCAGGUUGUCAUAGACGCCUGUCCCUCGGGCAACCUCUUGUGCAAUGUUUGGCUCCCCUGUUAGACUGAAACAGACAAUAACAAUCAGGCGGUGAUGAGCAACGACAGAAUGUACAAAUGAAAGAAUAAUAUGAAAACAAUUUUUUCCCAGUGAUUAUGACUAAGUGUGUGAUGGUAAACUGAAACAAACAAAAACAAUCAGACAGUGAUGAGCAACGACAGAAUGUACAAAUAAAAGAAUAAUAUCAAAUCUGUUUUUUUCCGCUUGUGAUGGUAAUUGUGACAUUGUAUUUCUCCAUUUUGUGAAAAGCACCUCUUAACACUGCAAAUCAAUGUCUCAAAUGUGUUCCUCAUUCUGCUUGGUGUUUCUUUAAACGAAAGGGAAACAAUGUACACACAUAAUAUUCAAAUUUAGGCAGAGGGGUGUUUAUUGUGUCUUAGUUUUGAAUAUGCCAGAAGUGCUUCUUCAGCGCUGUUAUGUUCAUGUAAUCAUUCACUAUUCGGAGACUGCUCGCUGGUGAGAGAAAUCACUGGAGGACCGUGAAGAGGAGCUAUCCCACACAUCCUCCACAUCACUGUCCUCGUCUCUCCCGUCCUCCUCUUUGACAGCCAGGAAGGAGAUGUAGGGGGAGCAGAGGCCCUCGUCCUCCACCUCCUCCUCUGAGCUGAGCUCUGGAGGAGCAGGCAGCAGAGGAGGUGCAGGGUAGAUGUCCAGGUCUGGUUGCUCCUUCACCUCCAGCUGCAGGUUGAAGAGGAAGGAGACAGCCCUGGAGGGCUCAGGGGGGGAGGGGGCGUACGAGGCAGCGUCCACGGAGUCAGAGGUGGACGAACUGGAGGUGGUGGAGAGGUGGAACCGCAGCACAGAACGGCGAUGCCUCAGGACGGUCCCCCUCGCUGGG